GGUUAAGUCCGCAACGAGCGCAACCCUAUUGCCAGUUGCCAUCACAUAAUGGUGGGCACUCUAGUGAGACUGCCCGGGUCAACCGGGAGGAAGGUGGGGACGACGUCAAGUCAUCAUGGCCCUUACGUCCAGGGCUACACACGUACUACAAUGGUGGAUACAGAGGGUCGCGAAGCCGCGAGGUCGAGCCAAUCCCAGAAAAUCCAUCCCAGUCCGGAUCGCAGUCUGCAACUCGACUGUGUGAAGUUGGAAUCGCUAGUAAUCCCAGAUCAGCAUGCUGGGGUGAAUACGUUCCCGGGCCUUGUACACACCGCCCGUCACACCACGAAAGCUGGUUCUACCCAAAAUCGACGGACUAACCUUCGGGAGGUAGUCGCCUACGGUAGGGCUGGUAAUUGGGGUGAAGUCGUAACAAGGUACC
rnacentral:rRNA from 1 species